GGCCUAUGGGGCGCAGCAGGCGCGAAAACUUCACAAUGUGCGAAAGCACGAUGAGGGGAUUCCAAGUGCUUCUCGUAAGAGUAAGCUGUUU
rnacentral:rRNA from 1 species